GUGGGGAAUAUUGGACAAUGGGCGAAAGCCUGAUCCAGCCAUGCCGCGUGUGUGAAGAAGGUCUUCGGAUUGUAAAGCACUUUAAGUUGGGAGGAAGGGCAGUAAGUUAAUACCUUGCUGUUUUGACGUUACCGACAGAAUAAGCACCGGCUAACUUCGUGCCAGCAGCCGCGGUAAUACGAAGGGUGCAAGCGUUAAUCGGAAUUACUGGGCGUAAAGCGCGCGUAGGUGGUUUUGUAAGUUGGAGGUGAAAUCCCCGGGCUCAACCUUUGAACUGCCUUUGAAACUCCUGGUCUUGAGGUCGAGAGAGGUGAGUGGAAUUCCGAGUGUAGAGGUGAAAUUCGUAGAUAUUCGGAGGAACACCAGUGGCGAAGGCAAUCCCCUGGGCCUGCACUGACGCUCAUGCAUGAAAGCGUGGGGAGCAAACAGGAUUAGAAACCCCAGUAGUCC
rnacentral:rRNA from 1 species